rnacentral:rRNA from 1 species
GGUUAAGUGAAUAAGGGCGCACGGUGGAUGCCUUGGCACUAGGAGCCGAUGAAGGACGGGACUAACACCGAUAUGCUUUGGGGAGCUGUAAGUAAGCUAUGAUCCAGAGAUUUCCGAAUGGGGGAACCCAAUAUCUUUUAUAGGAUAUUACUUUUCAGUGAAUACAUAGCUGAUUAGAGGUAGACGCAGAGAACUGAAACAUCUUAGUACCUGCAGGAAGAGAAAGAAAAUUCGAUUCCCUGAGUAGCGGCGAGCGAAACGGGAAGAGCCCAAACCAACAAGCUUGCUUGUUGGGGUUGUAGGACUCCAAUAUGGUAGUCUGUUAGUAUAGUUGAAGGAUUUGGAAAAUUCCGCUAAAGAGGGUGAAAGCCCCGUAGACGAAAUGCUAACAACACCUAGGAGGAUCCUGAGUACGGCGGAACACGAGAAAUUCCGUCGGAAUCCGCGGGGACCAUCCCGCAAGGCUAAAUACUCCCUAGUGACCGAUAGUGAACCAGUACCGUGAGGGAAAGGUGAAAAGCACCCCGGAAGGGGAGUGAAAUAGAUCCUGAAACCGUGUGCCUACAACAAGUCAAAGCUCGUUAAUGAGUGAUGGCGUGCCUUUUGUAGAAUGAACCGGCGAGUUACGAUUGCAUGCGAGGUUAAGUCGAAGAGACGGAGCCGCAGCGAAAGCGAGUCUGAAUAGGGCGAAUGAGUAUGUAGUCGUAGACCCGAAACCAUGUGAUCUACCCAUGUCCAGGUUGAAGGUGCGGUAAAACGCACUGGAGGACCGAACCCACGUACGUUGAAA